UACAGAGGUGACUAACGUUGUCCGGAAUUAUUGGGCGUAAAGGGCGCGUAGGUGGUCAGGUAAGUCAGGUGUGAAAGCUCUGGGCUUAACCCAGGAAUUGCAUCUGAUACUGCUUGGCUUGAGUACGGUAGAGGAGGGUGGAAUUCCCAGUGUAGCGGUGAAAUGCAUUGAGAUCGGAAAGAACACCAACGGCGAAAGCACUCUGCUGGGCCGACACUGACACUGAGAGACGAAAGCUAGGGGAGCAAAUGGG
rnacentral:rRNA from 1 species